AAUGGAUCUAUGAUGUUAUUUUAAACUUCGUUUGUAUCUGAAAUCUUACUAGAGGAACUGAGGAUGAACUAUUUUGCUGCGAUCCAAU